rnacentral:rRNA from 1 species
GAUGAACGCUGGCGGCGUGCCUAAUGCAUGCAAGUCGAGCGAACAGACGAGGAGCUUGCUCCUCUGACGUUAGCGGCGGACGGGUGAGUAACACGUGGAUAACCUACCUAUAAGACUGGGAUAACUUCGGGAAACCGGAGCUAAUACCGGAUAAUAUAUUGAACCGCAUGGUUCAAUAGUGAAAGACGGUUUUGCUGUCACUUAUAGAUGGAUCCGCGCCGCAUUAGCUAGUUGGUAAGGUAACGGCUUACCAAGGCAACGAUGCGUAGCCGACCAGAGAGGGGGAUCGGCCACACUGGAACUGAGACACGGUCCAGACUCCUACGGGAGGCAGCAGUAGGGAAUCUUCCGCAAAGGGCGAAAGCCUGACGGAGCAACGCCGCGUGAGUGAUGAAGGUCUUCGGAUCGUAAAACUCUGUUAUUAGGGAAGAACAAAUGUGUAAGUAACUAUGCACGUCUUGACGGUACCUAAUCAGAAAGCCACGGCUAACUACGUG